UAAAUGGAGCAUGACCGCCUUAAUAUACCCGCGUUAUCGUGUCACACUUGUUGUGACACGGAUCUCGGUUUUUGCGGUCUCAUCCGACAAACAAGGGUUUUAGAGAGUGAUGUCAUCUGGUUUCUUUGUCUUGAUAAUAUUCUUCAUGGGAGUGGACAACGUCAUGAUUAGAGUCAAGGACACUAGACUGGAUUACGAGGUAUCGCCUCACGUGUUAACGGAUCCAAAUGAGAUUCCAAAUCACCUGACACUGAGGAAGGAAGUGUGUGAAAAGUUACAAUUGCCAGAGACGUCCAGUGCUGACUGAAACUAGCAGUGAUUUAUUUUUUUAUAACAGCUUGACUGAUAUCAAAGUGUUGGGAAUAAAAUUAAACAUUUUGGUUGUAACAGUGAUGCACAUGCAGUUGACUGAAUAACAAACUGUGGGGAAUAAAAUGCUUUUAUUCUGAGAA